GUUUCACAUUCAAUGUUUACUAUAUGUUUUCAUAAUCAUCCGGAACAAAUCGCACUGGACCGAUUUCUUACAUCACCGUACGUAUUGACUGCCUUUAAUUUCUGUGACACCGUCUGCUUCAAUAUUUCAACAACACAUGUAACAUGGACGACAUUUAAUUUUCUGAGGAAAUCGAGACAUAUCACUGUCAAUUUACCACAAACAAUCUACUGACUACUUGUAAACCUUUCUGGUGGAAUAUUAUAAUUACAAUUUUCGAAACAA